AAGAAUGUAACCUUUUUGGUACACUCUUAUUAUCCCUUUGUCUACCCUUCCCUGUUGCUUCCAUGGUGCCAGCCAAUUUUUGGCUCUGGACAGGUACUAAAACUACCUGUUUGGAAGUGCCCAUGGGUGUCCCUCGGUGACAUCUGUACCCGGGGGACUUUUUUUAAAAUCUGAAAUGACGAAAUUGUCUGAAUACAUUUAAAUUUAAAAUA
rnacentral:misc_RNA from 1 species